rnacentral:rRNA from 1 species
AGGCAGCAGUGAGGAUAUUGGUCAAUGGGCGAGAGCCUGAACCAGCCAAGUAGCGUGAAGGAUGACUGCCCUAUGGGUUGUAAACUUCUUUUAUAAAGGAAUAAAGUCGGGUAUGKAUACCCGUUUGCAUGUACUUUAUGAAUAAGGAUCGGCUAACUCCGUGCCAGCAGCCGCGGUAAUACGGAGGAUCCGAGCGUUAUCCGGAUUUAUUGGGUUUAAAGGGAGCGUAGAUGGAUGUUUAAGUCAGUUGUGAAAGUUUGCGGCUCAACCGUAAAAUUGCAGUUGAUACUGGAUAUCUUGAGUGCAGUUGAGGCAGGCGGAAUUCGUGGUGUAGCGGUGAAAUGCUUAGAUAUCACGA